UACCUACGGGACGCAGCAGUGAGGAAUAUUGGUCAAUGGACGCAAGUCUGAACCAGCCAUGCCGCGUGCAGGAAGACGGCUCUAUGAGUUGUAAACUGCUUUUGUACGAGGGUAAAUGCAGGUACGUGUAUCUGUUUGAAAGUAUCGUACGAAUGAGGAUCGGCUAACUCCGUGCCAGCAGCCGCGGUAAUACGGAGGAUCCAAGCGUUAUCCGGAUUUAUUGGGUUUAAAGGGUGCGCAGGCGGCGAGUUAAGUCAGCGGUAAAAUUUCGGGGCUCAACUCCGACGAGCCGUUUAAACUGGCUU
rnacentral:rRNA from 1 species